CGGAGGAAAAGAAACCAACAGGGAUUGCCUUAGUAGCGGCGAGUGAAGCGGCAAAAGCUCAAAUUUGAAAUCUGGCGCCUUCGGUGUCCGAGUUGUAAUUUGAAGAUUGUAACCUUGGGGUUGGCUCUUGUCUAUGUUUCUUGGAACAGGACGUCACAGAGGGUGAGAAUCCCGUGCGAUGAGAUGCCCAAUUCUAUGUAAGGUGCUUUCGAAGAGUCGAGUUGUUUGGGAAUGCAGCUCUAAGUGGGUGGUAAAUUCCAUCUAAAGCUAAAUAUUGGCGAGAGACCGAUAGCGAACAAGUACAGUGAUGGAAAGAUGAAAAGAACUUUGAAAAGAGAGUGAAAAAGUACGUGAAAUUGUUGAAAGGGAAGGGUUUGAGAUCAGACUCGAUAUUUUGUGAGCCUUGCCUUCGUGGCGGGGUGACCCGCAGCUUAUCGGGCCAGCAUCGGUUUGGGCGGUAGGAUAAUGGCGUAGGAAUGUGACUUUACUUCGGUGAAGUGUUAUAGCCUGCGUUGAUGCUGCCUGCCUAGACCGAGGACUGCNAUUUUAUCAANGANGCUGGCAU
rnacentral:rRNA from 1 species